GACGAACGCUGGCGGCGUGCUUAACACAUGCAAGUCGAACGGAAAGGCCCUGCUUUUGUGGGGUGCUCGAGUGGCGAACGGGUGAGUAACACGUGAGUAACCUGCCCUUGACUUUGGGAUAACUUCAGGAAACUGGGGCUAAUACCGGAUAGGAGCGCGUGCUGCAUGGUGGGGGUUGGAAAGUUUCGGCGGUUGGGGAUGGACUCGGGGCUUAUCAGCUUGUUGGUGGGGUAGUGGCCUACCAAGGCUUUGACGGGUAGCCGGCCUGGGAGGGUGACCAGCCUCAUUGGGACUGAGGUACGGCCCAGAGUCCUACGGGAGGCAGCAGUGGGGAAUAUUGCCCAAUGGGCGGAAGCCUGAUGAAGCAACGCCGCGUGCGGGAAGACGGCCUUCGGGUUGUAAACCGCUUUCGCCUGUGACGAAGCGUGAGUGACGGUAAUGGGUAAAGAAGCACCGGCUAACUACGUG
rnacentral:rRNA from 1 species